AUUGAACGCUGGCGGCAGGCCUAACACAUGCAAGUCGAGCGGAUGAAGGGAGCUUGCUCCUGGAUUCAGCGGCGGACGGGUGAGUAAUGCCUAGGAAUCUGCCUGGUAGUGGGGGAUAACGUCCGGAAACGGGCGCUAAUACCGCAUACGUCCUGAGGGAGAAAGUGGGGGAUCUUCGGACCUCACGCUAUCAGAUGAGCCUAGGUCGGAUUAGCUAGUUGGUGGGGUAAAGGCCUACCAAGGCGACGAUCCGUAACUGGUCUGAGAGGAUGAUCAGUCACACUGGAACUGAGACACGGUCCAGACUCCUACGGGAGGCAGCAGUGGGGAAUAUUGGACAAUGGGCGGAAGCCUGAUCCAGCCAUGCCGCGUGUGUGAAGAAGGUCUUCGGAUUGUAAAGCACUUUAAGUUGGGAGGAAGGGCAGUAAGUUAAUACCUUGCUGUUUUGACGUUACCAACAGAAUAGGCACCGGCUAACUUCGU
rnacentral:rRNA from 1 species